rnacentral:rRNA from 1 species
AUGUGGGUGGACAUGUGGAAUGCUCAGAGGAAUGCCCGAGUUGAAGAUGAUCACACACCUGACAAUGACGAGGGGGCAUAUUUAAGGCAUUUGGAGUGGCUUCGCAAAGAGUACAGAGUUAUCCUUAAGGGUGCUUGGACUCGUGCCGAUUGCUUGGAAUUAAUGCCAAGUGAGGCUGCUGAUUGUGCAUUCAACAACUCUAUUAGGGAGACCAUUGGAGCGCACCUAGAUUAUGGCCCUCUGCAUGACCGAGUGGGCACGGAGCUAUGGAGAUGUAUCAAUGGUAGUAAUGUGGUGCUUGGCCGCGCACCUGGUAGAGAAACGGACGGUCUCGUUAGGAGUACUCUACAGAAGGUUGUGAAUCGUUGCCGAACACUAGCCGCUUUACUCUCUUGCCAUGGAGGUUCAUCAACGGAUGUGCGUGCACGUGCUCAGUAUAGAAUGGAUGUUCUUUCUUCCGCUCGUCCAUCUUCGAGCCAAGCACGUCCCCGUGCUUCUUCCGCUCGUCCUUCUUCCAGCCGAGCACGGAUUGAUGAACAGGAAGAUGAAGAUGAGGAGACAGACUUCGAUGCGGAUCCGUACUAUUUGGAGCUUGGGGCUUUGCAGAUGGAAGAUGCUCCACAGCCAACUCAACCUUCUCAGCCUUCUCAAGAAGCACGCCGAGUUAGCUCAAGGAACAUCCGACGUCCUGGAUGGCAGAACACUCCUGAGGGCUACGUCAACAGGGGGAAGAUGCCUGCGAAAAGAGGCAAGAAGUGA